rnacentral:lncRNA from 1 species
CGGGGGUACUGGCAGAAGACAUCUAUUAUCAUGUGUAUGGAGCUGAUAUCAAAUAUUUCCUUUAAUCCUAGAGACACUGCUAAACCACACGUACUCAAGCUCUCAGACACUCCAUAUCAGCAGUGUCAUCAGCCUUCAAGAUCUCUAUGGCUGGUAUGUACCGAUGGUAGAAUGAUUGCGGAUCUUGAUGGUGAGCUGUAAUUGUCAACUUGACAG